rnacentral:rRNA from 1 species
AGCGAACGCUGGCGGCAGGCCUAACACAUGCAAGUCGAACGAACCUUUCGGGGUUAGUGGCGGACGGGUGAGUAACACGUGGGAACGUGCCUUUAGGUUCGGAAUAACUCAGGGAAACUUGUGCUAAUACCGAAUGUGCCCUUCGGGGGAAGAUUUAUUGCCCUUAAAGCGGCCCGCGUCUGAUUAGCUAGUUGGUUGAGGUAAAUGCUCACCAAGGCGACGAUCAGUAGCUGGUCUGAGAGGAUGAUCAGCCACAUUGGGACUGAGACACGGCCCAAACUCCUACGGGAGGCAGCAGUGGGGAAUCUUGCGCAAUGGGCGAAAGCCUGACGCAGCCAUGCCGCGUGAAUGAUGAAGGUCUUAGGAUUGUAAAAUUCUUUCACCGGGGACGAUAAUGACGGUACCCGGAGAAGAAGCCCCGGCUAACUUCGUG